GGAUACAGCUCAAGUGGUAGAGUGCAUGCUUAACAUGCAUGAGGUCCUAGGUUCAACCCUCAGUGUUUCCU
rnacentral:tRNA from 1 species